GGAUUAGAUACCCUGGUAGUCCACGCCGUAAACGUUGGGCACUAGGUGUGGGUUCCAACCAACGGGAUCCGCGCCGUCGCUAACGCAUUGAGUGCCCCGCCUGGGGAGUACGGCCGCAAGGCUAAAACUCAAAGGAAUUGACGGGGGCCCGCACAAGCAGCGGAGCGUGUUGCUUAAUUCGAUGCAACGCGAAGAACCUUACCUGGGUUUGACAUGGGGAGUUUGGUCUUUGGAGACGAAGGCCUUCAGUUCGGCUGGCUCCCGCACAGGUGCUGCAUGGCUGUCGUCAGCUCGUGUCC
rnacentral:rRNA from 1 species